rnacentral:rRNA from 1 species
UACGUAGGGUGCAAGCGUUAAUCGGAAUUACUGGGCGUAAAGGGCUCGUAGGUGGCCAACUAAGUCAGACGUGAAAUCCCCUCAGCUUAACUGGGGAACUGCGUCUGAUACUGGAUGGCUUGAGUUUGGGAGAGGGAUGCGGAAUUCCAGGUGUAGCGGUGAAAUGCGUAGAUAUCUGGAGGAACACCGGUGGCGAAGGCGGCAUCCUGGACCAAUACUGACACUGAGGAGCGAAAGCCAGGGGAGCAAACGGG